GACCAGAUAGCUCAAUUGGUAGAGCGUCCGUCUUAAAUUCGGAGGGUCCCUGGUUCGAAUCCUGGUCUGGCCA